rnacentral:rRNA from 1 species
CUACGGGCCGCAGCAGCAAGGAAUAUUGUACAAUGGGGGAAACCCUGAUACAGCAACGCCGCGUGAAGGAAGAAGGCCUUCGGGUUGUAAACUUCUGUUUUAGAGGAAGAAAAAAAUGACGGUACUCUUAGAGGAAGCCCCGGCAAACUACGUGCCAGCAGCCGCGGUAACACGUAGGGGGCAAGCGUUGUCCGGAAUCACUGGGCGUAAAGGGCGCGUAGGCGGUUUAUUAAGUUGCAUGUGAAAUCCCAGGGCUCAACUCUGGACCUGCAUGCAAAACUGGUAGACUUGAGUAUGGCAGAGGCAAGUGGAAUUCCUAGUGUAGCGGUGGAAUGCGUAGAGAUUAGGAGGAACACCAGUGGCGAAGGCGACUUGCUGGGCCAAAACUGACGCUGAGGCGCGAAAGCGUGGGGAGCAAACAGGAUUAGAUACCCGCGUAGUC